GGCUUGUAUGAAGGGUCGAAUCAGAUAAAAUCUGUUUUAAUUUAAUUAAUUAUUGAAUUUUAAUUUUUAGUAAAAAUGCUAAAAUUUUUAUAAAAGACGAGAAGACCCUAUAAAUCUUGAUUUUAUUAAUUAUAUAUUUUUAUGUAUAAUAAUUAAAAUUUUAUAUUUAUUAAAAUUAUAUUGGGGCGAUAAUGAAAUUUAAUUAACUUUUAUAUUUUUUAAAUGUAUAUUUACAGAUUAAUGAUCCAAUUUUAUUGAUUAAA
rnacentral:rRNA from 1 species